rnacentral:rRNA from 1 species
AAGCAUGGGUAGCGAAGAGGAUUAGAUACCCUCGUAGUCCAUGCCGUAAACGAUGUGUGUUAGACGUUGGAAAUUUAUUUUCAGUGUCGCAGGGAAACCGAUAAACACACCGCCUGGGGAGUACGACCGCAAGGUUAAAACUCAAAUGAAUUGACGGGGACCCGCACAAGUAGUGGAGCAUGUGGUUUAAUUCGAAGAUACGCGCAGAACCUUACCAACACUUGACAUGUUCGUCGCGACUUUAAGAGAUUAGAGUUUUCGGUUCGGCCGGACGAAACACAGGUGCUGCAUGGCUGUCGUCAGCUCGUGUCGUGAGAUGUUGGGUUAAGUCCCGCAACGAGCGCAACCCUCACUUUUAGUUGCCAUCAUUAAGUUGGGCACUCUGAAAGAACUGCCAGUGAUAAGCUGGAGGAAGGUGGGGAUGACGUCAAGUCCUCAUGGCCCUUACGUGUUGGGCUACACACGUGCUACAAUGGUAUCUACAACAGGAAGCAAGACUGCGAAGUUAAGCAAAUCCCUAAAAGAUACCUCAGUUCGGAUUGCACUCUGCAACUCGAGUGCAUGAAGCUGGAAUUACUAGUAAUCGUGGAUCAGCGUGCCACGGUGAAUGCGUUCCCGGGUCUUGUACACACCGCCCGUCACACCAUGGGAGUUGGUUCUACCUUAAGGCAAGGUUUCAAACCCUUGACCACGGUAUAGUCAGCGACUGGGGUGAAGUCGUAACAAGGUAACCGUA